UGAUCCAGACUCUGCUCUGCUGCUAAAUGGAGUCUGAACUGGUUAGUCCUGAUCCUGAUCCAUACCUGAGGCUCCGCCCCCUUCCAGGAAAUCAUUUCAGGAAGGAACCAGAAGAUUCAGGAGUCUGGGAGAUGAGACUGUAACCGACCUGAACACUGAGGCCCCAGAGCGCCCCCUGCAGGAUCUGCUGCACCAUCACCGUUUCCAGCAGCAAAUCAAUCAUCUGUUGGUCCAGACAGAAAAGCUGAAGCUGUCAGUGAAGCAGAUCUGAAGCUGAGCAGCAGAAACCCAGAAGAACUGGAAGCAUCAGCAGGAGAUGAACUGGACCUCUAGGAUCACUGAUGCUGCAGCUGAGGAAGAGGAGAACGAUGAAGGUGAAGCUGCCAUCCUCACACUUCCUGUUUAUCAACCCAAGAAAGCAGAAAACCUGCAGAAAAUCAGCGGAAGAAGAACAACGAGGAACUGGAGACGUCCUGCGCCCUCUAGUGGCUGAUUGAACUACUGCACUGGGAGAACUGGACCUUGAUGCUACUGCAGCUCAGCGGCUGGUUUCUCUCUGAAUGGACCAAUCAGAACCAAACAGGAAGUAGAUUCAGCUCUGAGACAACUAUUUACAACUACAUACUUACACAUAUGUACAACAUUUUAGUGUUUCUAAACACUUUUAUUUAGAAAACAUAAAAAACUAUCAGCAGUUUUCAGAGGAAAGUUUUAACACAUUAAAACUUAACCUUUGAAAUCAAACCAUAUAUUUGUUUACCAAAAUAUUUCUUCAUUGCUCCUGUAACAAUAAAACUUAAUAAAUCUCUUGUGUUUUUAUUAGACCUCUAUAUCAGUGUUUUCAGAGUCCAGGUGUCAUUUAUUAGAGAAACUCAACAUCUGCUUUAUUAUAAAUACAUUUUCUUUCUAGUUUGCUUUUUUUCUUUUAAAAAAAAGUAUACCCACCUAAAUUAAAAAAAUAAAAAACAAACAUUAUGUCUUGACUGUCUGGUUGUUGAUUCUCAGUUGUCUAAAGUAGGUUUGAUUCAUUUUUCAUCAGGAUGUUUUAAGAGGUUAUGAAGAGCUUUAAAAACCCAACCUACUGCAGAGAUGAGAUAUUAUCCCACUUUCUCAGUCAGGAGAACAUCUGAUUGGCUGGUCAGUGUCCUGCUGGUUCUCUCUUAUCUCUACCUGCUGUAGAAAUGAACUGAUUCAUCUAAUUCAUCUAGGAGGGGUGGAAGUGUGUCAUUAAAGAGAGAAAUAGGA